CAAGAUUUAUAGCAUAAACACCCAUGGAAUCUUCUGAUGUGUGCUUCAGAUUAAUGCAUACCAACUACGAGCCAAUUGUGUAAGUUAAGAGGCUAACAAAUAAUUUGAGCAUGCAACAUAAUUAUGCUGAAUAUGAAUGGGAUAAAUUGCAAAUAUGCAGGGCAUACACUGUUCUUCCUUCGAAUUCUGGAUGCAAUAUCUGAAGUGUCAUGAAGCCAGGAGUGAUAAACAUGGUUAGAAAUAACAGUUUGUUCCUCAUCUGUGAUAAUUCCUUUGGGCUUUCUUCUUUGUUUUACUGACCCCUGCC
rnacentral:lncRNA from 1 species